rnacentral:rRNA from 1 species
GACGAACGCUGGCGGCGUGCUUAACACAUGCAAGUCGAACGGAAAGGCCCUGCUUUUGUGAGGUGCUCGAGUGGCGAACGGGUGAGUAACACGUGAGUAACCUGCCCUUGACUUUGGGAUAACUUCAGGAAACUGGGGCUAAUACCGGAUAGGAGCUCCUGCUGCAUGGUGGGGGUUGGAAAGUUUCGGCGGUUGGGGAUGGACUCGCGGCUUAUCAGCUUGUUGGUGGGGUAGUGGCUUACCAAGGCUUUGACGGGUAGCCGGCCUGAGAGGGUGACCGGCCACAUUGGGACUGAGAUACGGCCCAGACUCCUACGGGAGGCAGCAGUGGGGAAUAUUGCACAAUGGGCGGAAGCCUGAUGCAGCAACGCCGCGUGCGGGAUGACGGCCUUCGGGUUGUAAACCGCUUUCGCCUGUGACGAAGCGUGAGUGACGGUAAUGGGUAAAGAAGCUCCGGCUAACUACGUG